CUACGGGUUGCUCCAGUGAGGAAUAUUGCGCAAUGGGGGAAACCCUGACGCAGCGACGCCGCGUGAAGGAUGAAGGUCUUCGGAUUGUAAACUUCUGUUAAGUGGGAAGAAAUCCUUGUAAAUAAUACGUACAAGGGAUGACGGUACCAUUAGAGAAAGCACCGGCUAACUUCGUGCCAGCAGCCGCGGUAAUACGAGGGGUGCAAACGUUAUUCGGAAUUACUGGGCGUAAAGGGUGUGUAGGCGGCUUAUCAAGUCCAUAGUUAAAUCUUUCGGCUCAACCGAAAGGCUGCUGUGGAAACUGAUUUGCUAGAGAAUGGAAGAGAGAAGUGGAAUUCUCGGAGUAGCGGUAAAAUGCGUGGAUCUCGAGAGGAACACCGAUGGCGAAGGCAGCUUCUUGGUCCAUUUCUGACGCUGAGACACGAAAGCGUGGGGAGCAAACAGGAUUAGAUACCCCUGUAGUC
rnacentral:rRNA from 1 species